ACAAGCGGUGGAUGAUGUGGUUUAAUUCGAUGCAACGCGAAAACCUUACCCACCUUUGACAUGUACGGAAUCCUUUAGAGAUAGAGGAGUGCUCGAAAGAGAGCCGUAACACAGGUGCUGCAUGGCUGUCGUCAGCUCGUGUCGUGAGAUGUUGGGUUAAGUCCCGCAACGAGCGCAACCCUUAUCAUUAGUUGCUACGCAAGGGCACUCUAAUGAGACUGCCGGUGACAAACCGGAGGAAGGUGGGGAUGACGUCAAGUCCUCAUGGCCCUUAUGGGUAGGGCUUCACACGUCAUACAAUGGUCGGUACAGAGGGUUGCCAAGCCGCGAGGCGGAGCCAAUCCCACAAAGCCGAUCGUAGUCCGGAUUGUUCUCUGCAACUCGAGAGCAUGAAGUCGGAAUCGCUAGUAAUCGCUGAUCAGCAGGCACGCGGUCGAAUACGUUCCCGGGCCUU
rnacentral:rRNA from 1 species